rnacentral:ncRNA from 2 species
GUCGAACGAUCUGGAGAGAGAUGCCCAGAGCAUCCACCGAAGGGGAACGCCGAUACUAAGCCGUCGGUCAAGCUCUCAGGUAAACUAACAGAUUUGGGGAU